GAUGAACGCUGGCGGCGUGCAUAACACAUGCAAGUCGAACGAUAAAGCUUAAAAGAUUUCUUCGGAAUGACCUUAAUUGGAGUAGUGGCGGACUGGUGAGUAACGCGUGAGUAACCUGCCUUGUACAAGGGGAUAGCCGUUUGAAACGACGAAUAAUACCCUAUGACAUCAAUUAAUCGCAUGAUAAUUUGAUCAAGGAUUUACCGGCUUAAGAUGGACUCGCGUCUGAGUGGCUAGUUGGUAGGGUAAAAGACGACCGAGCCAACGAUCAGUAGCCGGCUGUGGAGAGCGACAGGGGGAAUUGGGAAUGAGACACGGCCCAGACGCAUACGGGAGGGAGGAGUGGGGAAUAAUGCACGCAGGGCGGAACCAGGAAGCAGCGGCGCCGCAGGACUGAGUAGGCGUUCGAGUUGUAAAAAACUUUUGAAUGAGCAGAAAAUGACGGUACCAGCAGAAUAAGGACCGGCUAACUACGUG
rnacentral:rRNA from 1 species